UACGUAGGGCGCAAGCGUUGUCCGGAAUUAUUGGGCGUAAAGAGCUCGUAGGCGGUUUGUCGCGUCUGCUGUGAAAACCUGAGGCUCAACCUCGGGCUUGCAGUGGGUACGGGCAGACUAGAGUGCGGUAGGGGUGACUGGAAUUCCUGGUGUAGCGGUGGAAUGCGCAGAUAUCAGGAGGAACACCGAUGGCGAAGGCAGGUCACUGGGCCGCAACUGACGCUGAGGAGCGGAAAGCAUGGGGAGCGAACAGG
rnacentral:rRNA from 1 species